rnacentral:misc_RNA from 1 species
AACGUCGUUGUGCGAAAUUUUGUAUUGUAUGUAAACGGUUGAGUUGACGGACAGAUCCAAGGGGGGAGGUUAGGCUGACGCGGCUGACGUAACGUAGUCAGCUGAAAGCUAUUUUCAUUUUUUAUUUUAGUACUAGUACAAGUACAAAUUCAAAAUGCCCAAUAUAGUUAAUGAAAUUAAAUUGGACUUCAAAGAUGUUCUACUGAGGCCCAAAAGGUCCACUAUAAAAAGCCGGAACGAUGUUAAUUUAUUUAGGAACAUUACUUUCCGAAAUUCCAAACAGAAUUACAAUGGAAUUCCUGUCAUGGCUUCCAAUAUGGACACUGUCGGAACAUUCAAUAUGGCAAAAGCUCUUUCCUCGAAUGGUUUGUUCACAUGCAUCCAUAAAUACUACAGCGUUGAGGAAUGGCAAUCUUUUGCCAAGGAAAACCCAGACUGCUUGAAAAACGUAGCUGCCAGUUCAGGAAUGUCAGAUGCCGACUUCAUUAGACUGUCAGAUAUUUUGAACGCCGUACCCGGUGUUACGUUCAUCUGUUUAGAUGUAGCCAAUGGUUAUUCCCAGCAUUUCGUGGACUACGUUAGAAGAGUUAGAUCGGCUUUCCCCAACCAUACCAUCAUUGCAGGUAACGUUGUCACCGGAGAAAUGGUGGAGGAAUUGAUACUGUCCGGUGCAGAUGUCAUUAAGGUUGGAAUCGGUCCUGGAUCUGUUUGCACCACAAGGAUGAAGACUGGUGUUGGCUAUCCGCAACUGUCCGCUGUUAUAGAAUGUGCUGAUGCAGCCCAUGGUCUCCAAGGUCAUAUUAUAUCUGACGGAGGCUGUACUUGCCCAGGCGAUGUUGCCAAAGCUUUCGGAGCUGGUGCUGAUUUUGUUAUGGCUGGAGGUAUGUUUGCUGGACAUGACGAAGGAGAUGGGGAGCUCAUUGAAAAGGAUGGAAAGAAGUAUAAAUUAUUUUAUGGAAUGUCUUCAAACACUGCGAUGCAAAAACAUGCAGGUGGUGUAGCUGAAUACAGAGCUUCAGAAGGAAAAACCGUUCAAGUUCCAUAUAGAGGAGACGUACAGACGACUGUUCUAGACAUUUUGGGAGGACUUCGAAGUGCUUGCACCUAUACCGGAGCUUCCAAGUUGAAAGAACUACCGCGAAGAGCUACGUUCAUGCGCUGCACGCAACAACUCAACAAUAUAUACAGUUAGCCACCAAAUUAACUAAGUAAAUUUUAGCUGAUUUAAUUUUACGAGAGGUUUUAGCCAAAUGUUAAAAGCUUUAGUAGUUAAGUUUUACCAUGUUGAAAACGCACAUUUACAAAAGCCAUAUUAUGUAUUGUAAAUCUUUAAAAUGCUAUGACAAUAUUAAAAAUUGUGAUUUAUUAAGGUACUUUAUAGUACAUUUUAGAAGACCAAAAGUCUUCUAAAGUGUACUAGUACCUUAAGAGAAGAGAGUAAUUGUGCGGUUCAAAGACUGUUUAGCCCAUUCAAGAACACGACUGUAUAUACAGACAGUAAUUUCCGUUUGUAAGUGUCUGCAUAUGCAGUCGUGUAUGCGAAUGGGUUAAAAAACAAAUAUUAUGGUUUGGAAGGUGUUAAAAUUUUUCGAUUUUAAAAUAUAGUUCAAUAUAUCCAAAAUGGAUACCAAAAUUAAGCUUUUCUAUAGCAGGCAUAAAUUUUUAUGAGGUUUCAUGAGGUGCCCGAAACGUCUAGUUUUGGCUUAGAGUUUCAGUCAAAUCUACGGUUAUGUCAUCUUCAUCUAAUUCUUGCAAUAAAUGGAUUUUGUAGGGUUUUAAUCAAUUCGUAUGCAAUAGGGCUUUUCAUCGAUUGUCAUUUGUUUCGAGCUUCUGUCAUAUGUUGUAUAAUCUGUGUAUAAUAUUAAUAUACACGGACUAUACGACAUGUGACAGAAGCUCGAAACAAAUGACUGUGAAUGAAAAGCCCUAUGCGUGCAAGACUGAAUAGUGAUUUACAUCAUGUAUUUGUGCAGCUCUGUUUGAGGAUAUAUGUGAAUUUUCAACGAAUCUCUGCAUUAAAUCUAAAAUUUUAUUGUAAUUUGUAACACUGUCUUCCUUUUCGAAUGCCAUAUUUUAUUCGUCCAGUUUACUCAGAGCUUUAAAUUUUGUUGUACCGUAGCCUUUUGGAGAGGAGGAUUGUUUGGAAGUAUCGUUGAACAAGAGGAGAAUUGUUUGGAAGUAUCGUAGCCCCUCAUUAAAAAA